GACGAACGCUGGUGGCGUGCUUAACACAUGCCAGUCGAACGGUGAAGCGCCUUCCUUUUUGGUGGGUGUGGAUGAGUGGCGAACGGGUGAGUAACACGUGAGUAACCUGCCCCCUUCUUCUGGAUAACCGCAUGAAAGUGUGGCUAAUACGGGAUAUUCUGGGUCUGUCGCAUGAUGGGUCUGGGAAAGAUAUUGUUUCGGUGGGGGAUGGGCUCGCGGCCUAUCAGCUUGUUGGUGGGGUGAUGGCCUACCAAGGCGGUGACGGGUAGCCGGCCUGAGAGGGUGGACGGUCACACUGGGACUGAGACACGGCCCAGACUCCUACGGGAGGCAGCAGUGGGGAAUAUUGCACAAUGGGCGCAAGCCUGAUGCAGCGACGCCGCGUGAGGGAUGGAGGCCUGCGGGUUGUGAACCUCUUUCGCCAGUGAAGCAGGCCUGCCUCGUUUGUGGGUGGGUUGACGGUAGCUGGAUAAGAAGCGCCGGCUAACUACGUG
rnacentral:rRNA from 1 species